CUUGCUCACUAGCUAACAAACGAAAUAGAACCGAAAUGACAGGCUGUAAAAAAUACAGAUGAAAUGGGAAAAGCAUACAGUAUUGAAAUGUGUUAAUUCAGGUAAAUAAUUGCUUUUCAUUCUGUUUUCAUCUUGUUCGUUCGCUGGGAAGUUACUUAGUCUAACAAGUUUCUCGGUUGCCUGUUUAAGAUGAAGUUAUCAUUAGAAAACACUAGAACUAGAUAGAGACUGCUUUCUGAAAUGUAGACUAUACCGUACAAGCGCCGCAUGUGUAUUACGUACGUAUUUCCAAAUGUAAGUAAUCUCCAAGACCAGGUUGUUAAACUGUUUCAUUUUAUUUGCAAGGACCUAAUUUAGCUACUACUACGUAGUAACUUGGCUCCGGGGUUUUUUCUUUCUUUCUUUUCUCAAAAAUGGUAAAUGUAUUAUUUUUAAUUAAAGUUAGUUAGACUACUCUGUAAUUUUUCUAUAUGCAUUUACGAUUUGUGAUGUUAAACUUAGUAUGUCUGCAAAAUGCUAGCGUAUUAUCAUUUUUUCAAGUAGGUACUUGUCUCGCAUGAAAAUAAUUUUCAUCCGCGCAAAAAAAAAAAAAAAAACGAGAACAGAUUUUAUUGUGUAUAUAUCUCAUUUGUUAAGAGACUCAUUUUCAUACAAAGUGCGUAUUUCAUAUCAUUAUUUUAAAAAGUAAGCCCGAAGAGUGUGUGUGUGCGCUCGAGCGCAUUCAUUCAUUCUGGAAGGUGUGGGUGAAUGCAAAUUUCUUAGCAAGAAGUCAUGAGAAAUAACGUAAGAAUCAUAUCAUGAUUAGGUCAUCUUAACACUCUGUAUUGUGACUCCUGUACUAUUAUUUUGUAUCAUGAUUGUGGAUGUGAUCAUUUGUGAUGGACUUUGAUUAAUUCCACGUCCAACUGUCUGGUACUCUGGUACAGCCGGACUCGCGCUUACUGUUCCGAUUCAUUCAUCAUCCACGGAGGGGCGGAGAGUUCAUGAAUCUCCGAUUUCUUGGAUGCUACUAUUCAUAGUACAGGGGCUAAACCCAGGCAAACGGCUCUGCUUUCAUUAUCGCCUUCUCUAACAUCUAGGAAGCAUUAUUAUUAUUAUUAUUAUUACAACUUAUUAUAACUAAGAACUCUUAGAGAAACUAUUAGUAAAAGCCAGAUGUGUUUAAGAAGGUUUACAAGGUUAUGUACAGCAUGUGAUAAGGACAUUGUGGUGUCCACUAACACACAUACUUUAACUAUGCGUUGUCUUUGCUGACUUAAAGGUACAAUUUAGGCAUUGAUAGCUCUGUCAUGGCUUUUUCUCUCUCUCUGUGUCACCCAUGUCACAGAAUAAUUGUUUUCUGCUGUCACGUGAAAAUGUAAUCUAGUUGUCUGACGCACUUGUGUUUGAGAUGCUUAAUGUGUGGGUUUUCCACGGAAUUCAGUUCCACAGCUUUUAGUGCAUUGACGAACCUGCAUUUGAAGAAUAGUUUGAACAAAGAGGUGCAGAUUCUUCCCUGCCUUGAAGACCAUUCCGAUUGCGAAAUGGUAAAAAGAUAUUCAGCUGGACUGUGGCAUCAGUGAUGUGCAGCAGGGCAUCUCAAUGAAACAAAUGAAAUUCAGGUUCCGGCAUUAUAUAAGCCAUUACCCCUACUCUGGAACUACCAAUGGUGCUCAUCAGAGUUGAAAAACAGCAUUCAGGUCAGCUACCUGCAAAAUGAAUAGAAAUGCAUGCAGCCUGCUCCUGUACUAUUAUAUUGUAACAGAUCAAGCCUGUACUGGAUUUUUUCAUUGAUUAUCCAAUUUGGCCCAUUUCAUUUGUGACCAGCAGUGUUUUCUUUUCAUUUCCGUUUUGGUUGUUUCAUAAGGUUCUGUGUCAGAGGAUGGUAGAGCUGUGUUCAAUUAACGCUGUAACACAGAUUGAAGCCUGACAUAUUGCUACAAGAGGACUCCACCAUAGAUCGUCCCAGACAGGGUGUGCUGUAGGCAGUUUACCUGGAGAAAAGGUAUGGUAACUGCUCCACCGUUUGCUCGGUCGCAGUCUGCCUGUCUCUGCUAAAUGGUGAAGGUUGUGAAGGACACAGUCCGGUAACCAGAAGGUUGCUGGUUUGAGUACCUUUUGGGAUGGCUCUGUUUUACCCCACAGGGAGGACUACCUGAACCGGAGUUGCCUCUAUGACGUGACUAUCCAGCUGUAGAACUGAGUGAUAUGUAAAAUACACGCCGCACUAGUCACCUUGGCCAAGGGCGUCUGCGAAGCAAAUAAAUUGUUUUUCACAGCAAAUAAAUAGUGUAAUGGAAUUGCAGUAAUCUGACAGGAGAUACUAAACUUUUUGAGGUUUCUGAAAUGAGAGGUGGGGGGGGGGGUUUCGCUGUGACGGUCAUUUUGAGUGUUCUUCAUUUCAGCGCUGAUCUCUCUCUCGUUUAGCGCAAGGCGGCGCUGGCUGUGCAUUUGUUCUGAAACCCAAAUCACCCGAGAAACAGUUUUCAUGAGCCGGAGUGAUGGGAUUAAACUCGCAGAGCUACGCAAGGGAACGGGCAGGGCAGCGAGUGCAGCUGGAGAGCUCCCUGUGUUCCUCCUCUGACUGUAUUCACAAUCUCUCCUCUCCUGCCUGUGUUAACCUUCUACAACACCCUGUUUACUCCUGUAUCUAAAAACACAUGCCCCUUGCUCACCUGCGGCCACUCUCCAUCCAAAAGCAUAAUCUGUGCUCCAUUCCUGCCCAUCCACCCAUCCCGAACCACGUCGUACCAGUGGACUACACCUCCUUUUCUCUUUUCUUGUAGGCAGUCAUUUCUGUCUCAAUACAAUUUUUAUUAUACAGAAGAAACCUAGAAUUUUGGUCUCAGAACUCUGAUGUAAGCUGAUGUAAAAUCAUUAUACUCGUAUAUCUGACUAUAUUCAAUGGAUACACAAUAGUGUUGCAGCCCCCAAUCAGGGCAAGACGAGUUGUCUCGCAUGCCAGGAUGAAUCAGUAAGUGGAUAUUUUAUACUGCCUUAAGUGAAACCACACCUUGUGCGAUGUGCUUUUGUUCCCAGGGCUGGGUGUGUAAUUUAAACUUGCCUGGAUGUUCUGUUAUGACCAUGGAAUUUAUCUGUUCAUCAACAUGAAAAUUAAGUGAACAUUUUAUUUUGUAUUUUAAGAAUCAUGUUUUUGCCAUUGGUGAACUUUCAUAACUGCUUGUCAUAUGACAAAGAAAAUUAUUUUCAAAAAAACCUAAUUUAAUUUGUAAUUUUAAACUUUUAAUUGGACAAUUUCCAAACUAAAAGGACGUAUUUCUUUCAAAAUACUUUGUCAGGACUGCUAUAGCCUUCCUUUAUAUCUGCAGUAAUUCAAAAGAAAAAAAUCCACAAUACACUUCAUAUUUUCUUCGGCAAAAAUGGGCUUUGAUUGAGAGCGUACAGUGAAAAGGGAAAUUAUCUUGGCUCUGCCUCAGUUGAAUUAAGUGUGAAGUUUGUGCCACACAUGAGGGAUUAUUGGGUUUGCCCGCCUGUGGUCAUGUUAUUGGAACACUAUUCCCAUUGUGUAAGCUUACUGCGUGUAUGAAUUUUUCUAUCACUGGGUAUCGACUUCCUGCUCCUUCCACUUAGCUGAGUGUAGCACAUCAAUAGAGGCUUGUUCAUCCUACCGAGGAGAUUUGAUUAGGAAUUAUUACAGGAAUUAUUACAGCUAACUGAGACGAAUGGGAUGCUAUUAUGAGACGGCGGGCUGAGAUCUCGGGCGCCGUCCCGUCGCCUGAAACCCAGCGGAUGAGCCGGCGGUCGCUGUCACCUGCGGCGGCGGAGACUGAUGGGAGAAGUUUAAGUUAACAGAUGACUACAGUCAGCAUCCUCGCAACCUGGCGACGGGGACGUGAAGGUCAGCCGGCCCCGCCGAUGACAGCGAGAACAUUUGUUGGUAAACAAAUUAAUCUUUCCAAAGGUCGCCAUUUGUUUCGGAGUCUUUUCUCCCCCCAGCCCCCCCCCCCUCUUUUUCUCCCCUCUCCGUCCCUCCCCUUUCCUGAGCGUCCUGUCCCCUUCUUCCCCCCCGCAUCCUGAGCCUGUCAGGAGAAAUGAGGCGGAGGCUGUCAGUGGCGUCCGCGGGGCGACGCGCGCGCCGGCUGCUGGGCCCGCCGAGCCUGCAGAGCCGCAGAUUGCAGCGUAUCAGCAUUCUUCAAAGGGAGCGGGCGCCUGAUUGCUACGCUAUGGGCUGGUGGUUUACAGCUGUCUCAGGACAAGAGUAGGUACCUGGCCCUGCAUGCCAAUAGGAUGGGUGCACGCUUCCCCAACUGGCGCCCACUGGCCCCUUGCCCACCGCGGCAUCAGCCAGCCUUCGCUUCAGCUGCCUUCUGUACCGGAGGAAGGCAACUUUCACGCUCCCUCUUUUCUUUUUUUCUGUUUUUUACAUUUUUGUCAUUUUAGUUUUCGGUGGUGUUUUAUUUUUUUUUUCCGUCUCAACAAUCCGUAAAACAGAUGUGCGCCUUUCAGGAAAAGACAAACAAAAAAAAAACAAAACAAACGAGGCAACUGGCGAGCGCUGCUGCUCUGUUACGCAGCCUGACAGCCAGAAAACAAACGAACAAGCAAAAAAAAAAAACAAAACAAAUGAAACCGGGGGAGGGGAGUCUGGAGAAAACGUGUGGAAAUAUUAAGGAUCUGCUUUGCAUGUGGUCAGCUCCUGAUUCCGUUUAAAGAACGUGUGCCCACCGCGCAGGCUCCCCAGGACAGACCGCCCUGCGUCGCGAAGCGCUGUGCGCUGAAAACCCAGCCGCUCCCGCUAGUGUGGAGCGCGAUAUCUCCCCUGUUCAGUCGCUGUGUUAUCUGUGGCAUGUAUACUAUUAUGGGUGGUAACUGAGAGCACAGAGUGUUUAUUAAAGGGGCAUCCUGUGGAAUGUCAUUCCAAGGUUAUGGUUCCACAGCGGCCCUUCAUGCAGCCGUCAGAAAAGCACGUGCAGUACCUGUGCACAAAUGGGCUAAUAACCUUUUCUUUGCUAAACUGCCAUUAACCGUUUGUUUGAAUAUACAUUUUAGAGGAAGUGAUUAUAAUGCUCCCUUUAAAUGUUUUUAAACAGCACAGUGAGGUUAUGCUGGUAAAAGCCAGCCCUUUAGCUCGGCUGUUAGAAAUUAGGUACAUAUUUUGUCACAAAUGGCGUAUAUGCAUUUUUAUGGCAGAAAAAUGAUUUAGCUGUAGUCCCUUUCUCUACAAUAGGCUUGGGUUUUCAAAUGCUCAGACCAGCAAAUGAAUUCACAAAGACAUUGGUGGGUCUGAAAGCUAAUGUGCUGUAGAAGGGGUUUGGGGGGGUUAAUUGCUGUAGUUCUUAUAGCGCAUAUGUAUAUGCCAUAAAUGAAUGCCAUCAGGAGAAAACUGCAGAAAUGAAAAAAGGAAGAAAAAUGAAAAUGUAACGAAAUUUAGAAAUUGUCCUGCAACCAUAACUUACCAGAACCAAGCCAAUUUAUGAUUGAUAGCUGCAGGGAAGAGGCUUAUUGGCCAGUUUACAAUGUCAUUAGCUGCUGUGUCUCAGCCUCCACACACUUUAAUGAAUGCAGAAAAUCUGUCAGUUGUAAUCGUGAACUCACAACCCCCCUCUCAUACACACAUACACACACACACACACACACGUACACAACCAAAAAAAACACCACAUAUUUACUGACAUCCACAAGCUGCCAGUACUCUGAUUAAUGGAUGGUCGUCUCCUUGCUUCAUAAGAAAGUUUGUUGGAAAGAAAAAAAUCUGCCCGGUGACCCGGAACUAAUAGCAUUCCACUUGUGCAAGCGAUCGAACUCAAAGUGGCGCAGUUAUUUCCAGCGGUGGGCGAUGGUGAUGGGGCCCUGGAGGCAGGUCUUGGUGAGGCAGGGGCGGCGGGUUAAUAUUUUGACCUUUAGGCCUCUACCCCCAGUGCCCCUUCGCUGACCUUGGACCAGCAGCGCCUGCGACGCAGGACCCGAGCUGACUGCUCGCCACACUGCAGGAUCAGCGUCCGUUUGGACCGUUUGGCAUGGGGCUCCUCAGGCCCAUGGUGACCUCCCAACUGAACGCGGCCAUGGGCUACUGGGUGGUUUGAGAAACCACCUUGUUUGUUGCAAAUCUUAUUUAUUUUCUCUGUUUUAUGACUCUUGGGGCCUACAUACUGUGGCUAAGAUACCUACAGUAUGAGCCCUAAUCUCAGAGGAAGGAUUACUAUUAUAUCUUAGAAUUUUAUGGCACGCAUGAACAUCAAACUUAGAUUUCCUGUAGAAUAAAAUGGAGAAGAUGCUUUUCUCCAAAACAUGGAUGUCUUAUCAAAUGCUGAGCUCACCAUCCUGUGCUAGAAGUGCCACCCCCCCCCCCCUCCUCGAAUGAGUAAUAGUGACUCUGUCUCCCAUGUCUUAUAAAGAAACAGCAGUAACAGUAGGGGGGAAAGAGUCCUUUAUAUCUUUUCAGUGGUGCAGUGCUUAUUUAUACUGUGACGGUUACAUUUAGCUUAAUUGCACUCAAAGACUGUAAAGCAUGAUGAAAAGAUAAAAAAACAAGAAGAGCCUGGUAUCGAUAAAGCACUCUGGCUGGGGGCUAAAUGCUUCGACCCUGAGACGAGUCUUCUGUGGACUAGUACUGCGUUAUAAGAGAACGGCGUCGCACAUCAUGCCAACCGCACUGGAGCCAAAUAGCGCUUUGUAUUUGUGAGCAGUACUGUGGGAAAGUUUAGCCUUCAGUGGCCUGAGAUGACUGCAGAUUGUUUUAUGUGAACACGCACUGGAGCGCAAUUAAGGGUGUUGUGCAUACUGGCCUGUAUAUGCUGAUGUAGACAUCACAGUACAUCGCAGUCUCAGACAAAGCCUUUAUCUGAUUGAGGUGCCAGAAUUCAGCUUGCAAGCCCUAGGACUCUCAUCUUCUGUUAUUAUGUAGAGCAGAGACAUUUGAAAUGCCCAUGAAUAUUUAAUUUAAAGUAGGCUUUCUCAGAUUCCUUAUCAGCCAGAAGAAAGAAUCCUGCGUUAUGAGACAUGGAGAUAAUUGGCUACUUAGUUGUCACGGAAGUGAUUAUGAAUAUCAGUAGGGUCAUAGUAUAUCAAUGGCCAGCUAUCAAGCUAAGGACACACAAAAACAUUUUCCCUGGGGUGUGAUGUAUUCAAUUUCAUGGAUAAAAGCAAGUAGCUACUGGACCAUGAGUAGAUGCAUUUAGAACAAAUGAGCAAAAUGAGCUAUCCCACAGUAUCUGGGCAAACCUGGAGCUGACAUUUCAGGACCCAGGUUAAAGAUGCACAAGAAUAUAUUUCUUUUGUAAAUCAGUUUCCCAGCCUUCUAAAUCCUUUUAUAGUUUAAUGGUGAAAAAUGGCACCACAUUUACAUUUACUAAGACUACGUUGUAUUUACUUUUACUAAGACUAAGGAUUUUACACACCACUCUAUGGAGUAGUAUUUCUGUACACUAUACACAAAUGCAGCCAAUGUACAGCAUGGAUAUGCAUUAAGUUUAAGACAUCCUGUGUAGAGAAUUUCACAGCUAAUAAGCAGAGGUUUGCCGAUACAUCCACAAACAUCCAAUACAUGCAACUUAAAUAUACUAACUUGGUAUACUACAUUAUGUACACUAAGACAGCCGGCACAUCAUAUCCUAUAUACAUUAAUAUAACAUAUCCAGUGUACACAGCAAACUAAAAACGGUCAAUAUGCUACAGCAUUAAUUAGAUUACCACAAGUCUGAACACACUCACUGGUGUUGUCUCAGCCCUGGAAAUACUUGGAUGGGCAUGAAGAAAAAGAUCUCUGCUCAGAAAUUCUCUUGAUGUUGGAAGUCGUGACGCGGGAGUCUAUUCACAAUGGCCUAUCCUCAGGGGCAAUCAGGCAUUGGGUUGUGAGCUGAUUGCACACAAACACUAUUAAAUUGUCCUUCCUUUUGCCAAAAUUUUAGUAAUAAAUUAAUUGGAAAACAGAGCUCUCAUUCUCUCCCUUUUCUUCUUUUAAAGCUGUGCCUUUUUUGUUGAAACCCCCAUCGCCCAUUAGCUGUAUUUAUAGAACUGGUCUACAGAGAGAGGGGGGGAAGCAGUCGUGCUUGGAAACCGAGGACCCCAUCUGACAUCAGCUCCAGGUCCGGCGAUUUGACUGAAUGGUGAAGAACGAUGCACGUGUGCAUUUAUAUAUGUGCACGUACUGUGCAGUCGGGGCCUCAGAGUGGAUGUCCAAACUCUAGAAAGCCAUGACCAGGGGGGUUGACUCAGUGUUGACUGGAGAGAGAGUGGGGCCCAAGCACUUCUGAUCCGCCCAUGUCUCCCCCCACCCUCCCCCCACCAGGAGUUCAGAAAACUUCUGUUACUGCCGUAUGCUCUGCACACCUUUUCACCUCCACAUGUAGCCAAGUUGUUCUCUGUAGGUUUGCCAGAGCAUAACAACGUCAAUGAUUUUUUUAAAAAUCAAUGCACCACAUUUUCAGUGUAACUGGGAGUGCCUGCAUUUCCCUGAACAUGCUAUUUGUGAAACUAGAGGGAGGAUUUUUAUGCAACACGUGCUGUUUUUGUGGCAGUUUUUUUAAAAACUUAAAUUUACUAUACAACACAAAUCCACUGGUCACAUUGGCUCUUCAGGGUGUCUUUCAGCUUUUGUUUAAAUUAAAAAUCAAUUCUCUGUUUAAAGUCGGUCCAAAGAGCUGAUGUGACCUUUAACCUUUGUGCCAUAAUGCUCAGUUUAUUAGAGGAGAUGGCCUUUGCAGCUACCUUAGGGCCCAGUUAACUGGUUAAGUGGCCAGAGUCAUCUUGGAGAAUACAGAAUGCCUAUAUGAAUACCUUAGGACUAAUAUCUGACUGCUGAGGGUGAAAAAUUGCUGAUCAGUACAAUAUGUGUGGGAGAUUAAAGAAUAGAUUUGCAAAGGAUAACAGUGCAGAGAGGUAAUGCACACUGGCUUGGUUGUGUUCAAACACGAAUAUUUAGGAAUUUUGUUCCCUUUCAGAAAUGCUUUUAAAUAGGUGUGUUAAUGCGGCAUAUCCCUAUUAAUAUGUAUUUGUCAUGUGCAGGGGCUUUGUUCUCAGGAUCGGAAACGAGGACAGCUGAAACAUAAUGGACCCUAAAGGCACUUGUUCUCUUGUCAUGUAGCGAAGUCCUCUAUCUGUUUCUGCCAGCUGUUUUGUGUUUCUGCGAGUACAUGGGACGCAUGGCGAAGCAGGACACGAUAGCCAACGGUCAUGCAGUUUGUGAUGAUCAAAGGAGCAACGGUGACAGCGGGCGCCGCUCUCCGCGCCGGCCGCUACUGCGGGGCUGGCAAGGGGGCACAGGUCAGCUUGUGCCCCCCUGGCACAGUGGAGGGACGGGCAUCUGUAGUCUCUGUCAUCUGUAUGGGGCUCCUCAAAUUGAAUUAAACCAUCGCUUCGGUGCUUUUUUUUUUUGGUUUUGUUUUUUGUUCAUUGAAGAUUUGCUUUCACUUCUGUUAUCAGCUCCUAAAAUUUGACAGAGGAGCUUAUCCACACUCAUGUGAACAGUUUAGAUAGUUGAGGCGCUAUUGGUGAACGCAGGUAAAAAAAAGUGGAGCAGUGGGCUAAGAUGUAUUCUAAGAUAUAUAUUGAAAAGGUGUAAAUUAGGUAGAAAAGCCAUGAUAAGGAUGCGGAUGAGGGGCGUGCAGGUACCAUGCUGCCCCCUGUCUGUCAGACAGCCCAAUGUGUCUGGAGCCCAUUGCAGAUGGAUUAGGUGCUGGAUUUACCCAACAGCUUCUGAUUUGCUGCUUAUGCCACUUUUACCAGCUCUUUGAGCUUUUUAGCUCACUGUACCGUGGGCAUCCUGGCGGGGUUGCCAUGGCUCCUGGAGGAGCCGGUGUGGGCGUGUGCCAUGCCCCUUGCUCUGGCAGUGCCGGUGCAGGAUCUGGGCGUGUCUGAGCCUGGCUGCGGUGCGCUCCUGGGAUCCGCUGAAGCACCCGAGCCGGCGCUCUGAGGGGGAGGGAGGUACGGGGGCGGCCGCGAACGGGGCUCCCGGCCCCCGCCUGGGAUGCCGCACGGCUCCAGCGGACCGCCAUCUCCGACGCGGCGGCGAACGGGCGGCCAGGACCGCGCCCGUCCCCCGGCUGAGCCUGGCUGAGACGGCCCGCAUCAGGAAGAGCCCUGCAGGCACGGCGUCUCCCACAUCUGGAGAGUUAGCGCAGCGGGCCAGAGCAUCUGGCAGCCAACUGGAAACACAUCAGGUCUUCCAGGAGGACUGUAAUCCUCAUCCCAUCAUUAGGAUGUUCCCAGACACAACAAUGAAGCACAAAGCGCCUGGGUAUUGAGAGGAAGACGCAGAUGGGCCGGCUGUAUGACGUGCAGGGGUCUGCUGUUUAUUCCCGAGCGCUCCUGUGCCAGCUGCAGUCCGGACCCCGGCAGGGCGGUGUGCAGUCGCUCCACAGCCUCACUCAGGGACGGAGGGCUGGCCAGGUCUCCUCAUGCCUCAUCGUGUGAGUGCCUGCGCCUGCCUGCGACUGCCUGCGCCGGCUGCAAGCUGCACAAACGGCGCAGUCCUCCGGCGUGAUUGGCUGCUCCGCUGACGCAUUGCCAGCAUUCAAGGCCAGGGCUGAAGCAAAGUUCUGCAGGGGGUCAGAGGACACCAGCACUGUGAACUGGGGUCCAGGACAGCUGAAUGAAUAUACAGACCCACCCAGGACAGGUUGCUGGAGUGAGAUAUCAUUUCACGAGUGAAGAUGGGUCAUUCCCGGUCACCUGAGGUUCCCAGUGCCUAGUGUAAAAAAAGUGAUCUAUUACAUACUGUACAAGUGUGUUUCUGGAAUGACAUGCUGAUCACCAACAAUUUUGGCAUUAAAAAAAAAAAAACACUUUGUGCUUUAUGAGUAAUUCAAUGCAGUAUAGUCCAUGUGGUGCAGUUUUUAAUAGACUGUAGCUUAUUAAAACCUUAAAUAUAUCAAAGCAGAUAUACAACAGGAGGCUUGCCUCCCCCACAGACUUCUCUAGAGGGAUUUAUCAGACCCAGGUCUUAUGGGAAGCUUAUGGUCACGCCCACACCUUCCAUCCAUUCUCUCCUUCCCUCUUGACUAUGAUAUAAAUGUAUUCCUUCCCUCUUGACUAUGAUAUAAAUACACGAACCUACCAAUAUACUGGUAACUGUGAAAAUAAAGGGAACACUAACCAUUCUGUCCAUCUCUGUGAAGUUCUUGACUGACUGCUCUUGAUGAAACUGCCAGUUCACAUCUAGGUUGCUUAGAGUUGCUAAUCUGUUUUGCCUUGAAUCUCAAAGUAAUGCACUGACGUCAUGGUUAAAUAGUAUGUGAUUUCAACCACGCUUGCCCCUAGUUAAUCAUGUCUCACCCUCAGACUUCCAUCGCCUUAGCUACUGUUCCUUCUGAAGCAUCAGCAAAUUUAGCAGUGUUCAUCACUGGAAAGCCUGCUGCUCUGGUAGCCAAAAUCAUGGGAAUCUGGACCUGCCCACCAUUUUUCUACUCUACGCUGAGAUGUGAAUUGCUCAGUUAACUCAGGAAUCACACUUUUGUGGAAAUGCAUGGUUUCAAUAUACUUUUAUCCCUCAUUUAUAUAAGUGGUUCCUUUAUUUUGGCUGGUACAGUACCAGUAUAUAUAAGGAGGAAGCCACAAUAUGUCCACCAUUUUAUCUGGUCACUUUUCAAAUUACUUCUGACCCCCUAUUCCCCACAAGGUCCCACUACCACUCACCCUGAAACACCAUGGCAUCUUGGGGGUUGACCAGCAGACCACAGAGAUUCAGAAACCUCUUGCAAAGACUCAAACCCUCUUUCCUUGUGCUUUAUGAAAUUCUUAUGAAAAGAACAAAGGCUUAGCUAAAUGGGAAAAUGAAUAGCCUUAUAUGCUUAUUCUGUUUAUUUUAUUUCCUCUUGAUAAUGUCUCACUCAUAGUGAUGUAUUUUCCUUUGCAAGUUUUGAAGUAUAUGCUAGCCUGGAGCAUCAACUGAUUUUGAAACCCAAGAAAUCUUCAGGAGGUAUUAUUGGUUUGUUUUCUUUGUUGUGAAUUAGCUCUGCCCUUGAACUGACUUUAACUACCACAAUCCAACAUGGAGGGAGAGGACAUUUACAAAGAAGAAGGCAGAGGCAGGAGAAAGUAAAAGAGGCUAUGGAGAAGAAAAGCCUUUUCCAUUGGAGACAAAUACUCAUAUGGACUUGAGAGAGUGAAAAAAUUCAGUCCAAGAUACCACUCAUCAGGGGAAUAGAAUGCUAAGCACUGUCCAAUUGUUCUUGUAAAUUACUCAAAGCAUCGGCAUGUUGUAUGGAGUUGAUUAAUAAAAGAUAUUUAUUACACAAAUCCUUGGGUUGACAAGUUAAAAUACUACCCCAUCUUUCAUUUCUCCCCAAAGAUCGCUGCUCUCUCAGGUUGAAAAUACUCAUUAAACUGCCUCCAGUGCUGC